rnacentral:sRNA from 1 species
GAGCACCGCUGUCUACAGGCUCUGUGCUGGGUGCCAGGAACACAGCACUGACCACGACAAAGCCCCUGCCUUAGAAAGAUGACAUUUCAGUACAAGGACAGAGAUGGCAAAUGGACAAGCAAGUGAAUGAAUGUGUCAGGAAGCAAUGUGGCAGGGAAGAAAGACUUAAAAGCAGGGCAAGAGAAUAGAGCUGCCAUUUAGGCAGGAAAGACCUCUUGUGCUGACAUUUGAAGUGAGGGGGCAGCCAUGAUCCGACGUCUACCUUCUUCCAGUUUGGAGCGUCCAUCCAGCAGCAAGCCACGGUCAUGCUGAAGAUCAUGCAGGAUUAUGACUGGCAUGUUUUCUCCCUGGUAACCACCAUCUUCCCUGGCUACAGGGAAUUCAUCAGCUUCGUCAAGACCACAGUGGACAACAGCUUUGUGGGCUGGGACAUGAAGAAUGUGAUCACACUGGACACUUCCUUUGAGGAUGCAAAGACACAAGUCCAGUUGAAGAAGAUCCACUCUUCUGUCAUCUUGCUCUACUGUUCCAAAGACGAGGCUGUUCUCAUUCUGAGUGAGGCCCGCUCCCUUGGCCUCACCGGGUAUGAUUUCUUCUGGAUUGUCCCCAGCUUGGUCUCUGGGAACACGGAGCUCAUCCCAAAAGAG